UACGGGGGGGAGCAAGCGUUGUUCGGAUUUACUGGGCGUAAAGGGCGCGUAGGCGGCCAGCACAAGUCGGUUGUGAAAUCUCCGGGCUUAACUCGGAAAGGUCAACCGAUACUGUGCGGCUAGAGUGCGGAAGGGGCAACUGGAAUUCUCGGUGUAGCGGUGAAAAUGCGUAGAUAUCAAGAGGAACACCUGAGGUGAAGACGGGUUGCUGGGCCGACACUGACGCUGAGUGCGCGAAAGCCAGGGGAGCAAACGGG
rnacentral:rRNA from 1 species